rnacentral:tRNA from 1 species
GCCUGAGUGGCUCAGUCGGUUGGGUGUCUGACUCUUGGUUUCGGCUCAGGUCAUGAUCUUGAGGGUUGUGGGUUCGAGCCCCACAUUGGGCU